rnacentral:rRNA from 1 species
GUGACGGAGCGACGCCGCGUGGGGGAUGAAGGCCUUCGGGUUGUAAACCCUUGUCACCUGGAAAGAAAAGCAGGUGGUGAAUAGCCAGCCUGUUUGACGUUACCAGGAGAGGAAGCACCGGCUAAAUACGUGCCAGCAGCCGCGGUAAUACGUAUGGUGCUAACGUUGUUCGGAAUCACUGGGCUUAAAGAGCACGUAGGCGGUUGAGAAAGUCUGGUGUGAAAUCCCUCGGCUCAACCGGGGAACUGCACCAGAAACUUCUUAGCUAGAGUACAGGAGGGGAGAGUGGAAUUCCUGGUGGAGCGGUGAAAUGCGUAGAUAUCAGGAGGAACGCCGGUGGCGAAAGCGACUCUCUGGCCUGUUACUGACGCUGAGGUGCGAAAGCUAGGGGAGCGAACGGGAUUAGAUACCCCGGUAGUCCUAGCCCUAAACGAUGGGCACUAAGUAGAGGGGUUUU